rnacentral:rRNA from 1 species
CCUACGGGAGGCAGCAGUGGGGAAUCUUGCGCAAUGGGCGAAAGCCUGAUGCAGCAACGCCGCGUGGGUGAUGAAGGUCUUCGGAUUGUAAAACCCUGUCGUUACGGACGAAGGCAUGAAUCUUAAUACGGUUCAGUUGACAGUACCUGAGAGAGCUGCCC